GCUACAACCCCCCACACACCUACUGAUUCAUAUCUUAGUGUUUAUUGUCUUCCUCUUCCUUUUCCUUUAUUCACACUUUUAAAAUCAGCGUGUGGCUACAUAUGUGACUUCUCAGGUGCCUGAAUGAAAGGGAUCCACAAUUAGAAGCAAAUUUGCUACAAUAUAUAGCAAAUCAAGCUGCAAACCCACAAUACUUAAAACGAGAGAAUAGCCAUGCAAUACUACAUUCAGGCCAGCAGGUGUCUCUCUGCCACCCACGACAUCAACUGAGAAAAUAACAAGGGAUAGAAGACCUGCCACUGUCAUUCUGUGAUCCCUGGACCAAGGAGGGGUAUAUAUAGUCAGACAAGACCAUCAGAAUAGUUUCAUGUUUUACAUUUCUAAGAAAUUAAAUAUGGGGAUUAAACAAAUAUGGCAAUUAAUGAAAAACAAGUGUG